AAAUUGAAGAGUUUGAUCAUGGCUCAGAUUGAACGCUGGCGGCAGGCCUAACACAUGCAAGUCGAGCGGAAACGAGUUGUCAGAACCUUCGGGGGACGAUAACGGCGUCGAGCGGCGGACGGGUGAGUAAUGCCUAGGAAAUUGCCCUGAUGUGGGGGAUAACCAUUGGAAACGAUGGCUAAUACCGCAUGAUGCCUACGGGCCAAAGAGGGGGACCUUCGG
rnacentral:rRNA from 1 species